CGUCGGAAUUCAAUCCGACCCGGUUAACUUUCGCUCCAGCCGGCGGCACUUGGGGCGGUCUAGGAGGUGACAAAUGGGCUGAAGCACUCCGGAAAAAAGCCUCUUCAGGAGGACAGUGGACCCUGCGGGCCGCAAGGUGA
rfam:Acidithiobacillus thiooxidans strain A02 contig244, whole genome shotgun sequence.